UACAGAGGGUGCAAGCGUUGUUCGGAAUUAUUGGGCGUAAAGGGCGCGUAGGCGGUGCGGUAAGUCUAUGGUGAAAUCUCCGGGCUCAACUCGGAGUCUGCCACGGAAACUGCCGUGCUUGAGUGUGGGAGAGGUGAGUGGAAUUCCCGGAGUAGAGGUAAAAUUCGUAGAUCUCAAGAGGAACACCGAUGGCGAAGGCAGCUUCUUGGUCCACAUCUGACGCUCAUGCACGAAAGCGUGGGGAGCAAACAGG
rnacentral:rRNA from 1 species